rnacentral:rRNA from 1 species
CACGGGGGGAGCAAGCGUUGUUCGGAAUCACUGGGCGUAAAGGGCGUGUAGGCGGUCAAGUAAGUGGAAUGUGAAAUGCCCCGGCUCACCCGGGGACCUGCAUCCCAAACUGCUUGGCUUGAGUAUGGGAGAGGAUGAGGGAAUUCCUGGUGUAGCGGUGAAAUGCGUAGAUAUCAGGAGGAACACUGGUGGCGAAGGCGCUCAUCUGGCCCAAUACUGACGCUGAGGCGCGAAAGCUAGGGGAGCAAACGGG